rnacentral:lncRNA from 1 species
CUAAGCCCAUAGACAUGAGGGCUGGCCUGCUAGAGAAAGAGCGACCUGGACAGAACAUGGCAGGAAUUGUGUACUGAUGGCGGUAGAUGUGGAGGAGGGUGGAUGCCCUGUCUGACCUUAUGAUGCUCCGUAGAAGAUGAGACCCUCUAGGGAGAAGACUGACCUGAAGCUCAAGGAUAACCUUAAACAUCUGACCCGCAGCCUCUGCUUCCCAUUGCUGAAUUGUGAUGGAUCUCAUUCGUGCUUUUCUCAUCACUGGAACAAAACCUCUGACUGGAGCCACUUAAGGAAGGGAAUGUUCACUUGCCCCACAUUGUGAAAAGCUACGCUGACAGGGGAGGACUCAGCCUGUGCAGUUCACAUUCAGGGCAGGCCCUCCCA